rnacentral:rRNA from 1 species
UACGUAGGGUGCAAGCGUUAUCCGGAAUUAUUGGGCGUAAAGGGCUCGUAGGCGGUUCGUCGCGUCCGGUGUGAAAGUCCAUCGCUUAACGGUGGAUCCGCGCCGGGUACGGGCGGGCUUGAGUGCGGUAGGGGAGACUGGAAUUCCCGGUGUAACGGUGGAAUGUGUAGAUAUCGGGAAGAACACCAAUGGCGAAGGCAGGUCUCUGGGCCGUCACUGACGCUGAGGAGCGAAAGCGUGGGGAGCGAAC